rnacentral:rRNA from 1 species
GCCUAUGGCCAUGCCACCCUGAACGUGCCCGAUCUUGCUUGAUCUCGGAAGUUAAGCAGGUUCGGGCCUGGUUAGCACUUGGAUGGGAGACCACCUAGGAAGACCAGGUGCUGUAAGCA